AUGGGGUUAGUAUAUUUAGUAUUGCUAAUUUCCGAUUAGCAGGUUAUUCCUAUG
rnacentral:tRNA from 1 species